rnacentral:rRNA from 1 species
CGUACACUCCUACGGGAGGCAGCAGUGGGGAAUUUUACGCAAUGGGGGAAACCCUGACGUAGCGACACCGCGUGAGCGAAGAAGCCCUUUGGGGUGUAAAGCUCUGUCAGCUGGAACGAAAACAAUGACGGUACCAGCAGAGGAAGCAUCGGCUAACUACGUGCCAGCAGCCGCGGUAAGACGUAGGAUGCGAGCGUUGUCCGGAUUUAUUGGGCGUAAAGAGUUCGUAGGUGGUUUGUUAAGUUUGGUGUUAAAGAUCGGGGCUCAACCCUGGGACUGCACUGAAUACUGGCAGACUCGAGUGUGGUAGAGGCUAGUGGAAUUCCCAGUGUAGCGGUGAAAUGCGUAGAUAUUGGGAAGAACACCGGUGGCGUAGGCGACUAGCUGGGCCAUAACUGACGCUGAGGAACGAAAGCCAGGGGAGCGAAUGGGAUUAGAAACCCCUGUAGUCCC